AUUGAACGCUGGCGGUAGGCCUAACACAUGCAAGUCGAACGGCAGCACAGUAAGAGCUUCCUCUUACGGGUGGCGAGUGGCGGACGGGUGAGGAAUACAUCGGAAUCUACUUUUUCGUGGGGGAUAACGUAGGGAAACUUACGCUAAUACCGCAUACGACCUACGGGUGAAAGCAGGGGAUCUUCGGACCUUGCGCGAUUGAAUGAGCCGAUGUCGGAUUAGCUAGUUGGCGGGGUAAAGGCCCACCAAGGCGACGAUCCGUAGCUGGUCUGAGAGGAUGAUCAGCCACACUGGAACUGAGACACGGUCCAGACUCCUACGGGAGGCAGCAGUGGGGAAUAUUGGACAAUGGGCGCAAGCCUGAUCCAGCCAUACCGCGUGGGUGAAGAAGGCCUUCGGGUUGUAAAGCCCUUUUGUUGGGAAAGAAAAGCAGCAGGUUAAUACCCCGCUGUUCUGACGGUACCCAAAGAAUAAGCACCGGCUAACUUCGUG
rnacentral:rRNA from 1 species